rnacentral:tRNA from 2 species
GCGAACGUGGCGGAAUGGUAGACGCGCUGUCUUCAGGUGGCAGUGAGCGUAUGCUCAUGCGGGUUCAAGUCCCGCCGUUCGCA